AAUACAGAACUGUCAGAACAUGCAGUGACAGAAAUGUUGUAGCUAAGCAACCACAUAUAGUCCAGUGUUCACAUUGACACACUGUUGGUG